GAUGAAGAACGUAGCGAAAUGCGAUAAGUAAUGUGAAUUGCAGAAUUCAGUGAAUCAUCGAGUCUUUGAACGCACAUUGCGCCCCCUGGUAUUCCGGGGGGCAUGCCUGUCCGAGCGUCAUUGCUGCCCUCAAGCACGGCUUGUGUGUUGGGCCGUCGUCCCCCUCCUAGGGGACGGGCCCGAAAGGCAGCGGCGGCACCGCGUCCGGUCCUCGAGCGUAUGGGGCUUCGUCACCCGCUCCGUAGGCCCGGCCGGCGCUUGCCGACGACCAUCAAUCUCUUUCUCCAGGUUGACCUCGGAUCAGGUAGGGAUACCCGCUGAACUUAAGCAUAUCAAUAAGCGGGGA
rnacentral:misc_RNA from 1 species